AACCCAAUGUUUGAUCCUGUCUUCUGGGUCAGGUUUUUGACUUCCAGCUCUCUGAGGAGGACAUGAAAACCAUUGAUGGGAUGAACUUAAACCGUUCCUAUGUGCAUUUAGAACAAUUUUUGGGCCACCCACAGUUUCCAUUUAGGGAUGAAUAAUGGAAAGGAUCUUUUUUCAUUGUUCCUGAUUUUAUUUCACGCAUCAG